rnacentral:rRNA from 1 species
AGUGAACGCUGGCGGUAGGCCUAACGCAUGCAAGUCGAACGGCAGCACAGUAAGAGCUUGCUCUUACGGGUGGCGAGUGGCGGACGGGUGAGGAAUACAUCGGAAUCUACUUUUUCGUGGGGGAUAACGUAGGGAAACUUACGCUAAUACCGCAUACGACCUACGGGUGAAAGCAGGGGAUCUUCGGAUCUUGCGCGAUUGAAUGAGCCGAUGUCGGAUUAGCUAGUUGGCGGGGUAAAGGCCCACCAAGGCGACGAUCCGUAGCUGGUCUGAGAGGAUGAUCAGCCACACUGGAACUGAGACACGGUCCAGACUCCUACGGGAGGCAGCAGUGGGGAAUAUUGGACAAUGGGCGCAAGCCUGAUCCAGCCAUACCGCGUGGGUGAAGAAGGCCUUCGGGUUGUAAAGCCCUUUUGUUGGGAAAGAAAAGCAGCAGGUUAAUACCCCGCUGUUCUGACGGUACCCAAAGAAUAAGCACCGGCUAACUUCGUG